UGAUCAUGUCCCGACAGGUACUUGGUCCCUGUGUUGAGAAGUCUCCAGACUGGCAUCUCUAAGGGCAGGGAUGUGAGCAGAAGUGGGGUCCUCCCCUGUGCUCUCAGGACUGUGUACACUUCUGAGAGUCCAGCUCUAUACCUCACAGCAUCUGAGUAAAGAAAGCUGUUGGAUGUGGUCAGCUGAGGUAGCAGGAUCAAACUGCAAGGAUCCUAUCCAAGUCUGUUCCUAACUUCCUGUGUUUAGAGCCCUCCAGGCAGCUUGAACUUGGACCAGAAAGGUGAGUCAAGAGGAAGCCUACCUGGUUGUCUCAGGAUUGUUUGCUCUUCUAAGAGUCAUGUUCUCUCCCCUGGUGAUCUUUUGACCCAGGAGUCAAUAGAGAAGUGUUGGACCGUGUGAGCUCCAAGCACAGGCAGAAACCAGAAGUAUCCUGAACAAGACCGCUCCUGGUUUCCUAUGACUUGAGGGAUCCAGGUGGGUCCUUCCUAUCCGAAAUUGUGGUCUUACCUCUGUUCUCUGGUGAGUCAGAGCUCCUGGAUAGUGGCUUUCUGCUCCGUGCACAGAUAAAGAGCAGAAGGAUCCUGUUCGGACUGCUCCUAGGAUCAUGUGUCCAGAAGGCUCCAGACAGGAACCUCUUGGGGGGCAAGGAUGUGAGCAGAAGUGUUUGUCUCCACAGUGCUCUCAGGAUUAAAAGCAUUUCUGACUGUCCAGCUCUCAACCCAUGAGAUCUUGGUGCUGAGAGCUUUGGGCCUGUGUCAUCCUGGCCACAGUUGGAAACCAGAAGUAUCCUGUUCAAGACUGCUCUAAGAUUCCUGUGUCCAGAGAGCUCCAGGCAGGUUCUUCUUGGGCCAGGAAUGUAAGCAGUAGUGGUGGUCUCCCCAGAGAUCUCAGGAGUGUCCACAUGUCUGAGAGUCCAGCUCUAUAAUUCAUGGGAUCUGGAUACAGAAAGCUGUAGGACUGGGCCAGCACGCAGCUGUAGGACUGGGCCAGCUCACGGUGCAGACAGAACCUGCAAGGGACUUAUCCCAGUCUGCUCCUAAGUUCCUGUGUUCAGAAGGAUCCAGAUGGGUUCACCUUGGGCCAGGAAUGAGAGACAAGAGGAGGCCUCCGCUCUUCUUUCAGGAUUUUCUGCACUUGUGAGAGUGCACUAUUUCCACAGGUUCCUGUGUCCAGAGGGUUCCAGAUUUAUUGAACAUGGCCCCGAAAAUGUGAGCCAAGAGGAGGACUCCCCUGUUCUCUCAGGAUUUUCUGCACUACUGAGAGUCUCACUCUCUCCUGAGGGGAUCUGUGUAUGGAGAACUGUUGGACUGGAUGAGAUCCAGGUGUGUCAGGGCUCUUGGAUACUUGGUUCCAGCUUCAUGAACUGUCUAAGACCAGAAGGAUCCUGUCCUUGACUCCACCUACAUUGCUGUGUCCAGAGGGCCCCAGGCAGGAUCCACGUGUGCCAGCAAGGUGAGCAGAAGAGGUGGUGUCCCCUGUCCUAUCAAGACUGUCUAAUCUUCUCCCAGUCAUACUGUCUCCCCAGGGGCUCUGGGUACUGAGAGCUGUGGAAACAGGUUAAUUCUGAGCAGAGUUAGAAACCAGAAGGACCCUGUCCGCGAUGGCUCAUUGUUUCUUCUGUUGUGAGAUCUCACAUGGGUCCCUUGGAGGAGAAGUGGUGGUCUUACCUCUGCUUUCAGUUGUGUCAGGCAUACUGGAGACUGCCUUUCCACUCCUGUCACAUGAGGAGACCUGAGGGAUAAUGUCCCUGACAUCACCUAGGUUCCUGUGUCCACAGCCUCCAAACUGGUACUUCUAGGGGCAGGGAUGUGAGCAGUAGUGCUGGUCUCCCUUGAGCUCUCAGGAUUGUCCACACUUCUGAGAGUCAUGAUGUCUUCCCAGGGGAUCUGUGCACAGAGAGUUUUGUUCCUGAGACAGCACUGGCAACAGCCAGAAACCAGAAGGAUCCUGUCCAAGUCUGCUCUUAGGUUGUUGCUUCCCCAGGGCUCCAGGCAGGUUCCUCUUGUGCCAGCUACGUGAACAGUAGUAGGGUGGUCUCCCCUGAGCUCCCAGGCCAGUUCCAGCUUUUGAGAGUCUCACUCUCUGUCCAAGGGAUCUGGGUACAGUGUGCUUUGGUCCUGUGUCAGCACUGUGAACACCUGGAAACCAGAAGAUUCCUGUCCAAAUCUGUUCUCAGUUUGCUUUGUCCACAGGGCUCUACGCAGGUUCCUCUUGGGCCAUGUAUGUGAGCAGUAGUGGUGGUCUCCCAUGAGCUGUCUGGAUUAUCUGCACUUCUGAGCGUCCAACUCUAUACCACAGGGGAUCUGGAUAGAGGAAACUGUAGGACAGGGUCAGCUCAGGGAGCAAGCAGCAACUGCGGGGAACCUUUCCCAGUCUGCUCCUUGGUUCCUGUGUCCUGUUGGCUGCAGGCAGAUUCAACGUUGUUCAGAAAGCUGAGCCAAGAGGAGGUCUCCCCUGUCUUCUCAGAAUUUUUGCACUACUAAGAGUCAGCCUUUCUCCUCAGAGGAUAUGUAUACACAGAACUGUGGGAUCAGGUCAAAUUCGGCCAGAGGCAGAAACAACAAGUCUACUGUCCCAGACAGCUCCAGGCUUCCUAUGUCCUGCAGGCUCCAGGAGGAUAUCUCAGGCCAGAAAUUGUGGUUUAACCUCUGCUGUCAUUUGUGUCAGCGCUACUGGAUACUGGCUUUCAGUUCCAUGCAUGGACAAAUACCAGAAAGAUCUGUCCCUGGCUGCUCCUGGGAUCCUGUGUCCAGAGGGCUCCAGGUGGGUUCCACUUGUGUCAGGAAGGUGAACAGAAGAGGUGAUCUCCCCUGUACACUCAAAAUGGUCCAGACUUCUGCGUGUCACGCUCUCUCCCCAGGGACGGGGGUACAGAGAGCUGUGGGACCAGGUCAGGUCCAGGCACAGGCACAAACUAGAAUGGGCCUAUCUCAGAUGACUCCUCCUCUGCUGUGUCCUGAGGAACCCAGGAGAGUACAUUGGAGCUGAAAUUGGGGUCUUACCUCUGCUUUCAGGUGUGUCAGGUAUAUAGGAGACUGGUUUUCAGUUAUGAUCGCAGGCUGAGACCAGAAAGAUCAUGUCCUGACAGCUCCUAGCUUCCUGUGUGCAGAAGGCUCCAGACUGGUAUUUUUAAUAUCAGGGAGGUUAGCAGAAAUGAUUGUCUCCCAUGUGCACUUAGGAUUGAACACACUUCUGAUAGUGCUGCUCUCUUUCCAGAGGAUUUUUGUACAGAGAACUGUGGGACUAGGUGAGCUCCAGGCACAGGUAGAAACCAGAAGUAUUCUGUGCCAGACGGCCCUAGGUUUCCUAUAUUCUGAAAUGUCCAGGAGAAUCCCUCUGAGAGAGAUGGCGGUCUUUCCUCUGCUCCCAGAUUAAACACCAUUCCUGGACGUUGGCUUUAGGCUCUAUGCAUGAGCAAGACCAGAAGGAUCCUGUCCCUCCCUGCUACUAAAUUCCUGUGCCCGGAGGGGUCCAGGCAGGUUCGUUUUGGGCCAGGGAAGUGAACAGAAGAAGUGGCCUUCCCUGUCUCUCAGGAUGGUUCACACUUCUGAGAGUCACGCUCUCCCCUCAGGAGAUGUGCAUACAGAGACUGGUGAGACCAAAUCAGUUUCAGGCACAGGCAGAAACCAGAAGUAUCCUGCUCCAGAUGGAUCAUGGUUUCCUUUGUCCUGAGGGCUCCAGUCAGGUCCCUUGGAGGAGAAGUGGUGCUCUUACCUCUGCUCUGAGGUGUGUCAUGGACACUGGAGUCUGGCUUUAGCUUUGAGCUCAGGUGGAGACCGGAAUGGUCAUGUCCCCGACAGGUACUUGGUCCCUGUGUUAAGAAGUCUCCAGACUGGCAUCUCUAAGGGCAGGGAUGUGAGCAGAAGUGGGGUCCUCCCCUGUGCUCUCAGGAUUGUCUGCACUUCUGAGAGUCCAGCUCUAUACCUCACAGCAUCUGAGUAAAGAAAGCUGUUGGAUGUGGUCAGCUGAGGUAGCAGGAUCAAACUGCAAGGAUCCUAUCCAAGUCUGUUCCUAACUUCCUGUGUUUAGAGCCCUCCAGGCAGCGUGAACUUGGACCAGAAAGGUGAGUCAAGAGGAAGCCUACCUGGUUGUCUCAGGAUUGUUUGCUCUUCUAAGAGUCAUGUUCUCUCCCCUGGUGAUCUUUUGACCCAGGAGUCAAUAGAGAAGUGUUGGACCGUGUGAGCUCCAAGCACAGGCAGAAACCAGAAGUAUCCUGAACAAGACCGCUCCUGGUUUCCUAUGACUUGAGGGAUCCAGGUGGGUCCUUCCUAUCCGAAAUUGUGGUCUUACCUCUGUUCUCUGGUGAGUCAGAGCUCCUGGAUAGUGGCUUUCUGCUCCGUGCACAGAUAAAGAGCAGAAGGAUCCUGUUCGGACUGCUCCUAGGAUCAUGUGUCCAGAAGGCUCCAGACAGGAACCUCUUGGGGGGCAAGGAUAUGAGCAGAAGUGUUUGUCUCCACAGUGCUCUCAGGAUUAAAAGCAUUUCUGACUGUCCAGCUCUCCUCCCCAUGAGAUCCUGGUGCUGAGAGCUUUGGGCCUGUGUCGCCCUGGCCACAGUUGGGAAACCAGAAGUAUCCUCUCCAAGACUGCUCUAAGAUUCCUGUGUCCAGAGGGCUCCAGGCAGGUUCUUCGUGGGCCAGGAACGUGCAGUAUUGGUUGUCUCCCCAGAGAUCUCAGGAUUAUCUGUACUUCUUACAGUCCACCUCUAUAUUUCAUAGGAUCUGGAUACAGAAAGCUAUAGGACUGGGCCACCUCAGGGUGCAGACAGAACUUGCAAGGGACCUAUACCAGUCUACUCCUAAGUUCCUGUGUCAGGAAGGAUCCAGAUGGGUUCAUCUUGGGCCAGGAAUGAGAGACAAGAGGAGGCCUCCCCUCUUCUUUCAGGAUUUUCUGCACUUCUGAGAGUGCACUAUUUCCACAGGUGAUCUGUGUAUAGAAAAUUAUGGGACCAAAUCAGUUCUGGGCUCAGUCACAAACCAGAGUUAUCCUGUCCCAGCCGACUCCUGGUUUCCUAAGUUCUGAGGGCUCCAUGAGCAUUUGUCAGAGCAGAAGUGUUGUUCUUAGCACUGCUCUCAAGUGUGUCAGUGCUCCUGGAUACUGGCUUUCAGCCCCAUGCAAGAGCAAAGACAAGAAGGAUCCCAUCCUUGGUUGCUCCUAGGAUCCUGUAUUUUGAUGGCUAGAGGGAGGGUUCUCUUGGGCCAGGAAUGUGUGCAGAAGUGGAGGUCUAUUCUGUGCUCUCAGGAAUGAACACACUUCUGAGAGUCCUUCUCUCUUCCCAAGUGAUCCUGGUACCGACAUCUGUGGGAGCAGGUCAUCUCAGGGCAAAGGCAGAUAUUAGAAUGAUCCGGUUCCAGAGGCUCUGAUAUUCCUGUGUCCAGAGGGGUCCAGGCAGGUUCUUCUUGUGCCAGGAAGGUGAGCAGAAGUUGGGGUCUCUCCUGUGCUCUCAAGAUUAUCCGCACUUCUGAGAGUCACACUGUCUCAUUGGAUCUGGGUACAGAGAGCUUUGGGAAAAGGGAGCUCUGGACACAGAUGAAAACCAGAAUUAUCCUGUUACAGAUCACUCCUGGUCUCCUAUGUCCUCUGGUUUCCAGGAGUGUCCCUCAGAGGAGAAGUCGUUGUCUUACCUCUGCUUUCCCAAUAUGUCAGUGUUCCUGGAGCCUGACUUUCAGCUCUGACCUUUGGCAAAGAAGCAAGGAAUCCUGUCCCUGUCUGCUCCUAGGUUCCUGUGACCAGAAGGCUCCAGGCUGGUCCCUCUUGGGCCAGGAAUGUGAGCAGUAGUGGUGGUCUCCUGUGUGCCAUCAGGCUUGAACAUAUUUCCGAUUGUCCAGUUCUAUUCCUCACUGGACCAGGGUUCAGAAACCUGAAAUAUCCCAUCCCAGUGAGCUCCUGGUUUCCAAUAUGUGAGGGGUCCAGAAACAUCUCCCCAACAGAAAUGGUGAUCUUACCUUUGCUCUCAGGUGUGAUAGCUUUCCCUCAUAUUGGCUUUCAGCUCCAUGCAUGGGCAAAUGGAUCCUGUCCCUGACUGCUCCAAGGUUCCUGUAUCUAGAGGGUUUCAGACUGGUUACUCUUGAGCCAGGAAGGUGAACAGAGGAGGUGGUCUCUCCUUAUUGGAUUUGGAUGUACAGAGCAGAGCGAACGGGUCUGUUUCGUGCAUAUGCAGAAACCAGAAGGAUUUCGUAUCAGUCUUUUCCUGGUUUCUUUUGUCCUGAUGGUUCCAAGAGGGUACCUCGGUAAAGAAAUUUUAGUCUUACUCCUGCUAUGAGGUGUGGGAGCGCUUUUGCAGACUGACUUUCAGCUCCAUACACAAGCAAAGACUAGAGGGAUCCUGCCCUUUACUGUUCCUGGAAUCUGUGUCCAAAGGGCUCCAGGUGGUUUCCUCUUGGCUUAGGAGAAGGUUAGCAGAAGUAGUGGACUCCGGGAGGUUUCAGGAGUGUCUGCACUUCUGUGUGUCCAGCUCUACUCCUCAUGAGAUCUGGGUACAAUAUGGUGUAAGACAUCGUCAGCUCUCUGUGCAGAUGAAAAGCGGAAGCAACCUGUCCCAGUCUACUCUUAGGUUUCUGUGUUCAUAAGACGCUAAUGUGGUUCCUCUUGGGCCAGGAAUGCGAGCAGAAGUGGUGGUAUUCCCUGUGUUCUCAGGAUUGAGAACACUUCUGAGAGUUUUCUUUCUCACUGGAGGUCUUUGUACAGAGAGCUUUGGGACUGAGGUAGUACUGCCCCAUCUGGAAACAGAAGAAUCCUGUCCAAGACUGCUCUGUUUCUUGUGUCCAGAGUGCCCCAUGCAGGUUCCUCUUGGGCCAGGUAUGGGUGCAGUAGUGUUGAUCUCCCCUAAACUCUCACGAUGUUUUGGAUUUCUGAGAGUCCAUAUUUAUGCCUCAUGUUACCCGCAUAAAGAAAACUGUAUGACUUGGUGAGCUCUGUAGCAUAACAAAACUUCCAUUAUCAUUUGCUUUUCUGUUUCUAGGUUCAUGUGUCCAGCGAGCCCCAGACUGUGUCCUCAUGGGCCGGGAAUAUGAGUAGAAGUGUUCGUCUCCUCUGUGCUAAUAGGACUGUUUGCAUUCUGAGAGUCCUGUUUUCUCCAGAGGGGAUCUGGGUACAGAGAGCUUUGGGCCUGUGACAGCACUGGGCUCCUCCAGAAACCCAAAGCUUCCUAUCCCAGUCUCCUCCUGGGUUCCAAUGCCCAGAGUACUCGAAGUUGAUUCCUCUUGGGUCAAAAAAUUUAGUCUAGAGGUGGUCUCUCCUGUUCUCUUAGAAUUAUUCACACUUCAGAGAGUCAUGCUCUCUCCCUUUGGAAUCUGUGUACAGUGAACUGUGGAGCAGGGUAAGCUCCAGGUUCAGGCAGAAACCAUAAGUAUCCUGUCCCAUGUGGUUCCUGGUUUCCUAUGUCCUAGUGGUAUAAGAGGGUCCAUCAGGCAGAAAUGGUGUCCUUACAUUUGCUCUCAGUUUUUCAAUGAUUCAGGAUACUGGUUUGAAGCUCUGUGCAUGGGGAAACACCAGCAUCAUGCUGUCCUGCCUGCUUCUAGCUUCCUGUGUCCAGAGGGCUCCAGUUGGGUUCCCCAUUGGUCAAGAAGUUGAACAGAAGAGUUGGUCUCCCCAGUGUUCUCAUGAUUUUCCACACUUUUGAAACUCAUACUCUCUCUUCUGGGGAUCUGGGUAUAGAGAGCUGUCGGUUCAGGUCAUUUUGAGCACAUCUAGAAAUAAGAAGUUUCCUGUGCCAGACUGUUCAUUGAUUUCUAUGUCCUGAGGGAUCCAGGAGGGUUUCUUGGUGCAGAAAUCAUGGUCUUAACUCUGGUAUCAGGUGUGAUCACAUUUGAAGGUUGUCUUUCAGCUCCUACGUUCCUUUGUCCAAAAGUGUCUAGGCAGGUUCCUCUAGGGCCAGGAAUGUGAGCAGAAGUGGUGGCCUCCCCUGUCCUCUCAGGAUUGAAUGCACUUCUGAGAGGCCCUCUCUCUCCCCUUGUGAUCUGGUACAGAGAACUGUGGGCCCGUGUCAGUACUGGGCUCAGGUGGAAACCAGAAGGAUCCUGUCCCAGUCUGCUGUUAGGUUCCUGUGUCCAGAUGCCUCCUGGCAGGUUCCUCAUAGGCCAGCUCUGUGAUCAGUCAGGUUCAUCUCCCCUGAGAUCUCAGGAAUAUCCGCUCUUCUGAGAGUCCAUCAACAUACCUCCUGGUAUAUGGAUACAGAAGAAACCUGUACAAUCUGAUCAGCUCCAUGUGCAGAAGGAAACAUCAAUGAUGCUAUCACAGUCUUCUCCUACAUUCUUGUGUCCGGAAGGAUGCAGGAGGUUUCCUCUUGGGCCAUGACCCUAAACAGAAAUGGUGGAAUCCCUUUUCUCUCAGGAGUGUCUGCACUUCUGAGAGUCAUGCUCUCUCCCCAGAAGAUCUGUGUAGAGAGAGCUGUGGGACCGCUAAGCUCCAGGCUCAGGCAGAAUGCAAAAGGAUCCUGUUCCAGUCGGCUCCUUGUUUCCUAUGUCUUGAGGGGUACAGGAAGCUCCAUCAGGCAGAAAUGGUGGCCUUACAUCUGCUUUCAGUUUUGUCAGUGCUCCAGGAUACUGGCUUUCAGCUCCUUAGACGGGCAAAGACCAGAAUGAUCCUGUCCCUGACUGCUCCUAGUUUCCUGUGUCCAGAGGGCUCCAGUCAGGUUCAUUUUGGGCAAAGAAGUUGAAAAGAAGAGGGGGUUACCAGGAUACCCCACACUUUAUUCUGAGUCCAGAGCACUCCAGGCAGGUUCCUCUUGCACUCCUAAUUGAACACAAGUGUCGUUCUCCUCUCUAUCCCGGGAUAGUCAGCACUUCUGUGAGUCCAGCUCUAUUCCUCAAGAGAUCUCUGUACAGAAGGGUGUAAGACCAGGUCAGUUCUGAAAGUCACACUCCCUUCUCAGGGGAUCGGGGUAUAGACAGCCAUCGGUCCUGGUCAUUUCCAGGCACAUGCAGAAACCACACAGAUCCUAUCCUAGUCAGUUUUUUGUUUCCUAGGUCCAGAGUGGUCCAUUAAGGUUUGUCGGUAAAGAAAUUGUGGUCUUACUUCUGUGUAAGGUGUGAGCACUUUUGGAGUCUGGAUCCAUCUCCUACAUUCUUAUGUCCAGGGGUGCAGGCAUGGUCCAUUCUCCUACAUUCUUACUGCCCAGAAGGGUCCUAGGUUCCUCUAGGGCCAGGAAUGUGAGGAGAAUUGGUGGUCUCCCCUGUGCUCUCAGGAAUGAAAGCACUUUUCAAAGUCAUGCUCUGUCACCAUGGGAUCUGGUUAGAAAGAACUCUGGGAUCAGGUCACCUCUAGACCCAAGCAGACAACUGGAGUAUCCUGUCCCCGAUGGCUCCUAUGUCCUGAGAAAUCCAGGAGGAUCCCACUGAGCAGAACUGGUGAUCUUGAUUCUCCUCUCAAGUAUGUCAGAGAUUUUGGAGAUUGACUUUCAGCUGUGCACAAAGAACAGAGCGAUCCUGUCCCUGACUGUUCCUAGGAUCCUGUAUUUUAAGGGCUCCUUGCAGGUUACUCUUGGGCUCCUAAUGUGAACAGAGGUUACCUGGAUAGUCAGAACUUCUGUGAGUGCAGUCUAUUCCUCAUGGGAUCUCAGUACAGAAGGGUGUAAGAACAGGUCAGCACUGAGAGCAAAUGGAAACUAGAAUGAUCCUGUUCCAGUCAGAACCUGGGUUCCUGCGUCCAGAAGGCCCUAGAAUGGUACCUCAUGGGCCAGGAAUGUGAGCAGAAGUUGUGAAAUCCCUUGUACUCUCAGGAUUGAACUCACUUCUGAGAGUCCUGCUCUCUUCCCAAGGGAUCUUAGUACAGAAAUCCGUAGGACAGGGUCAACACUGGCACAGGCAGAAAUUAGAAUAAUCCUGUCUCAGAUGGCUCCUACUUUUCUAUGUUGUGAGAUCUCCAGGCAGGUCCCUCGGUGUAGAAUUGGUGGUCUUACCUCUUCUUUCAGGUGUGUCAGGUAUACUGAGAAGGGCUUUGAGCUCCAAGAGCUGGAUGAGACCUGAUGGAUCUUGUAUCUGACAGCUCCUAGGUUCCUGUGUCCAGAAGGCUCCAGACUGGUACCUCUUGGUGCAGGGAUGUGUGCAGAAUUGGUGGUCUCCCCUGAGCUCUAAGGAUUGUCUGGUUUUCUGAGAGUCCAGGUCUAUACCUCAGCGGAUCUGCAUACAGAAAUCUCUAGGACUGGGUCAACUCAGGGAGCACGCAGAUAUUGUAAGGGACCUAUCCCAUUCUUUUCCUAGCUUCCUUUGUUCAAAUGCACCCGGUUGGUUGACCAUUGCCCAGAAAUGUGAUCCAAGAGGAGGCCUCACUGUUGUCUCAGAAUUUUUUUGCACUACUGAGAGUCUCACUCUCUCCAGAGGGGUCUGGGUAUGAAGAACUGUUAAACUAGGUCACAUCUGGGCACAGGCAGAAAUGAGAAGUACACUGUCCCAGACAGCUCCUGCUUUCCUAUAUCCCAAGGGAUCCAGAAGGGCAUAAUGGAGCAGAAAUUGUGGUCUUACCUCUGCUUUCAGGUGUGUCAGGUAUAUAGGAGACUGGUUUUUAGUUAUGAUCACAGGCUGAGACCAGAAAGAUCAUGUCCUGACAGCUCCUAGCUUCCUGUGUGCAGAAGGCUCCAGACUGGUUAUCUUUUAUAUCAGGGAUGUUAGCAGAAAUGAUGGUCUCCCAUGUGCACAUAGGAUUGAACACACUUCUGACAGUCCUGCUCUCUUUCCAUGGGAUUUUUGUACAGAGAACUGUGGGACUAGGUGAGCUCCAGGCAAAGGUAGAAACCAGAAGUAUUCUGUGCCAGACGGCCCUUGGUUUCCUAUAUUCUGAAAUGUCCAGGAGAAUCCCUCUGACAGAGAUGGCAGUCUUUCCUCUGCUCCCAGAUUUCACACGAUUCCUGGACUUUGGCUUUAGGCUCUAUGCAUGAGCAAGACCAGAAGGAUCCUGUCCCUCCCUGCUACUAAAUUCCUGUGCCCGGAGGGAUCCAGGCAGGUUCGUUUUGGGCCAGGAAAGUGAACGGAAGAAGUGGUCUUCUCUGUCUCUCAGGAUUGUUCACACUUCUGUGAGUCACGCUCCCCUCUCAGGGUAUGUGACUCUUUCCAAACAGGAUCUGAGUACAGAGAUUUUUGGGCCUGUGUCAGCACUGCACAGAGCUGGAAACCAGAAGGAUGCUGUCCAGAUCUGCUCUUAGGACCGUGUUUUAGAGGGAUCCAGGUGGGUUCCUCUUGGCCCAGGUAUGUGACCAAAAGUGGUGAUCUCCCUGUCACAUCAGGAUUGUCAACACUUCUAAGAGUCACAGUCUCUUUACCAUUUACCUGGAUACAGAGAGCUGGGAGACCAGUUCAGAUCCAGGAACAGGCAGAAACAAGAAGGAUGCUGUCCCAGAUGGCUCCUGGUUUACUAUGUCCUGAGGGCUGCAUGAGUGUAUCUCUGAGCAGAAAUUUUGGUCAUAACUCUACUCUCAGGUGUAUCAGCCCUCUUGGAGACUGGCUUCAACUCUGUGUACAGUCAGAGACUGGAGGAUCGUCUUUCAGACUGUCUUUGGAUCCUGUAUACAGAGCACUUUGGGCCUGUAACAGCACUGGGCUCAUUUGGAAACUAAAAUGUUGCUAUCCCAGUCUGCUCCUAGGUUCCAGUGUCCAGAGUGCUCGAGGUGGGUUCCUCUUGGGCCAGGAAAUUGAGCACAGAAGAGAUUUCUCCUGCGCUAUCCUGAUUGUGUGCACUUCUGAGAGUCAUGCUCUCUCCCCUGGGGAUCUGUGUACACAGAGCUAUGGAGCCAGGUAAGCUCCAGCUGCAGGCAGAAACCAGAAAUAUCCGUUCCCAAAUGGCGCCUGGUUUCCUAUGUCCUAGGGCUCCAGUAGUUUCCAUCAGGCAGAAAUGGUGGCCUUACCUUUGCUCUAAGUAUUCUCAGCACUCCUGGACACUGGAUUUCAGCUCUAUGCAUGGACAAAGACCAGAAUGAUUCUGUCCCUGACUGCUCCUAGUUUCCUGUUUCCUGAAGGUCUGUCAACAGGUUCGUCUUGGACCAGGAUGUUGAACAGAAGAGGGUGACACCUCUGCCUUCUCAUGAUGGCCCACACUUCUGAGAGUCACACUCUCUCUUCAGGGGACCUGGGUAUAGAGAUCCAUCGGUCCAGGUCAUUUCUAGGCACCUGCAGACACCAGAAGGAUCCUGUUCCAGACUGUGUUUUGUUACCUAUUUCCUGAGGGGUCUCGGAGGGUUCCUCAGUAAAGAAAUUGUGAUCUUACCUCUGUUAUCAGGUGGGAACGCUUUUGGAGACUGGCUUUCAGCUCCUAGGGUCCUUUGUCCAAAAGGGUCCAGGCCGGUUCCUCUAGGGCCAGGAAUGUGAGCAGGUGUUCUCCCCUGUGCACUCAGGAAUGAAUGCACUUCUGACUGUCCUUCCGUCUCCCCAGGGUAUCUAGGAACAGAUAGCUUUGUGCCUGUGUCAGCACUGGGCACAGCUGGAAACCAGAGGAUCCUGUCCAAGUCUGCUCUUAGGUUCCUGUGUCAAAAGGGCUCCAGAUGGGUUCCUCUGGGUUCAGAAAGGUGAGCAGAAUACGUAGUCUCCCUUUUUCUGUCAGGAUUGUCUGCAUUUCUGAGAGUUAUGUUCUCUCCCCAGGGGACCUGGGUACAGAGAACUGUGGGACCAGUUCAUUUCUGCGCACAGGUAGAAACCAGAUAGAUCCUGUCCCAGACAGCUCCUGGUUGCUUAUGUCCUGAGGGCUCCAGGAGGGUCUCACAGAGCAGAAGUGGUGGUCUUACCUCUCCUCUCAGGUGUGUCAGAGCAUUUGGAGACUGGCUUUCAGCUCCUUGCAUAGUCAAAGACCAGAAGGAUCCUGUCCCUGAUUGCUUGUAGGAUGCCUUAGUUUGAAGUCUCCAGGUGGGUUCCUCUUCGGCUAGUCAUGUGAGCAGAAGUAGUGUUCUCUCCUGAGCUCCCAAAUUAAUUCUCACUCCUGUGAGUCCACCUGCAUUCCUCAUGAGAUCUGGGUAUAGAAGGGUGUAAAGACAUACCAGCUCUGAGAGCAAAUGGAAACCAAAAUGAUCCUGUUCCAGUCAGGAUCCUGGGUUCCUGUUUCCAGAAGGCUCUAGAUUGGUACCUCUUGAGUAAGGAAUGUGAGCAGAGGUGUUGGACUCUCCUGAGAUCUCAGGAUUGAGCACACUUCUGAGACAAAAGCUUUCUCCUCAAGGGAUCUAGGUACAGAAAUCUGUGGGACAGGGUCAGCUCCGAGAACAGGCAGAAAUUAGAAUGGUCCUGUCCCAGAUGGCUCCUAGUUUCAUAUGCUGUGAGACAUCCAGGUGGGUCCCUCGGUGUAGAGAUGGUGGUCUUACCUCUUCUUUCAGGUCUGUCAGGUAUCCUGGAGAAGGGCUUUCAGCUCUGAGAGCAGGCUGAGAACUGAUGGAUCAUGAAUCUGACAGCUCUUAGGUUCCCAUGUCCAGAAGGCUCCAGACUGAUUCCUCUUGGGGCAGGGAUGUGAGCAGAAGUGGUGGUCUCCCCUGAGUUCUAAGGAUUGUUCACACUUCUGAAAGUCAUGGUCUCUCCCCAGGGUAUCUGUGCACAGAGAGCUUUGGUCCUGAGAUAGCACUGGCCACAGCUAGAAACCAGAAGGUUCCCGUCCAAGUCUGCUCUUAGGUUGUUGUGUCCAAAGGGCUCCAGGCAGGUUUCUCUUGGGCCAGGUAUGUGAAUAGUAUUUGUGUUCUUCCCAGAGCGAUUACGAUUGUCUGCACUUCUGAGAGUCAUGCUUUCUCCCCAGGGGAGCUGGGUAAACAGAGCUUUGGCCAGAGUCAGCCCUGUGCACAGCCACAAACCAAAAGCACCAUGUGCGAGAUUGCUCUUAGGUUCCUGUGUCAAGAGGGCUCCAGAUGGGUUCCUCUUUGGCAAGAAAAGUGAGCAGAAUACGUGGUCUCCCCUAUUCUGUCAGGAUUGUCUGCACUUAUGAGAGUCAUGUUCUCUCACCAGGGGAUCUGUGUACAGAGAUAUGUGGGACCAGUUCAGUUCUGGGCACAGGCUGAAACAAGAAAUAUGCUGUGCCAGAUGGCUACUGCUUUCUAAUGUACUGACAGCAUCAGGAGGAUGCAUUGGGGCAGAAAUUGUGGUCUUACCUCUACAUUCAAGUGUCUUAGGUAUAAUGGAUACUGGCUUUCAGCCAUGACAACAGGCUGAGACCAGAAGGAUCAUGUCCUGAGAGCUCCUAGUUUCCUAUGUGUAGAAGGCUCCAGAUUCGCACCUACUGGGUCAGGGAUGUGAACAGAAGUGCUGGUCUCCUCUAUGCUUUCAGGAUCGAACACUCUUCUGACAGUCUCUCUCUCUCCCCAGGGGAUCUGAGUAUGGAGAACGUUGGGCCUGUGUCAGCACUAGCCACAGCCAGAAACCAGAAAGAUCCUGUCCAAGUCUGCUCUUAGGUUCCUGUGUCUAGAGUGCUCCAAAGGGGGUUCCUCUUGUGCCAGCUAUGUGAACAGUAGUAGCGUGGUCUCCACUAAUCUCUCAUUCCGUUUUGCACUUUUGAGAGUCUCACUCUCUGUCCAAAGGAUCUGGGUACAGUGUGCUUUGGUCCUGUGUCAGCACUGUGAACACCUGGAAUCCAGAAGAUUCCUGUCCAAAUCUGUUCUCAGUUUGCUUUGUCCACUGGGCUCUACGCAGGUUCCUCUUGGGCCAUGUAUGUGAGCAGUAGUGGUGUUCUCCUAUGAGCUGUCUGGAUUAUCUGCACUUCUGAGCGUCCAACUCUAUACCACAGGGGAUCUGGAUAGAGGAAACUGUAGGACAGGGUCAGCUCAGGGAGCAAGCAGCAACUGCGGGGAACCUUUCCCAGUCUGCUCCUUGGUUCCUGUGUCCUGUUGGCUACAGGCAGAUUCAACGUUGUUCAGAAAGCUGAGCCAAGAGGAGGUCUCCCCUGUCUUCUAAGGAUUUUGUGCACUACUGAGAGUCACACUUUCUCCUCCGAGGAUAUGUGUACAUAGAACUGUGGGAUCAGGACAAAUUCGGCCAGAAUCAGAAACCACAAGUCUCCUGUCCCAGACAGCUCCUGGCUUCCUAUGUCCUGCAGGCUCCUGGAGGAUAUCUCAGGCCAUAAAUUGUGGUCUAACCUCUGCUGUCAGCGCUACUGGAUACUGGCUUUCAGUUCCAUGCAUGGACAAAUACCAGAAGGAUCUGUCCCUGACUGCUCCUGGGAUUCUGUGUCCAGAGGGCUCCAGGUGGGUUCCACUUGUGCCAGGAAGGUGAACAGAAGAGGUGAUCUCCCCUGUACACUCAAAAUGGUCCAGACUUCUGCGUGUCACGCUCUCUCCCCAGGGACGGGGGUACAGAGAGCUGUGGGACCAGGUCAGGUCCAGGCACAGGCACAAACUAGAAUGGUCCUAUCUCAGAUGGCUCCUGCUCUGCUGUGUCCUGAGGAACCCAGGAGAGUACAUUGGAGCUGAAAUGGGGGUCUUACCACUGCUUUCAGGUGUGUCAGGUAUAUAGGAGACUGGUUUUCAGUUAUGAUCGCAGGCUGAGACCAAAAAGAUCAUGUCCUGACAGCUCCUAGCUUCCUGUGUGCAGAAGGCUCCAGACUGGUAUUUUUAAUAUCAGGGAUGUUAGCAGAAAUGAUGGUCUCCCAUGUGCACUUAGGAUUGAACACACUUCUGACAGUCCAGCUCUAUUUCCAGAGGAUUUUUGUACAGAGAACUGUGGGACUAGGUGAGCUCCAGGCACAGGUAGAAACCAGAAGUAUUCUGUGCCAGACGGCCCUAGGUUUCCUAUAUUCUGAAAUGUCCAGGAGAAUCCCUCUGAGAGAGAUGGCGGUCUUUCCUCUGCUCCCAGAUUUCACACCAUUCCUGGACGUUGGUUUUAGGCUCCAUGCAUGAGCAAGACCAGAAGGAUCCUGUCCCUGACUGCUUCUAAUUUCCUGUGUCCAGAGGAAUCCAGGCAGGUUCCUCUUGGGCCAGGAAGUUGAACAGAAGUGGCCUUCCCUGUCUCUCAGGAUUGUUCACACUUCUGAGAGUCAUGCUCUCCCCUCAGGAGAUGUGCAUACAGAGACUGGUGAGACCAGAUCAGUUUCAGGCACAGGCCGAAACCAGAAGUAUCCUGCUCCAGAUGGAUCAUGGUUUCCUUUGUCCUGAGGGCUCCAGUCAGGUCCCUUGGAGGAGAAGUGGUGCUCUUACCUCUGCUCUCAGGUGUGUCAUGGACACUGGAGUCUGGCUUUAGCUUUGAGCUCAGGUGGAGACCGGAAUGGUCAUGUCCCCGACAGGUCCUUGGUUCCUGUGUUAAGAAGUCUCCAGACUGGUAUCUCUUAGGGCAGGGAUGUGAGCAGAAGUGGGGUCCUCCCCUGUGCUCUCAGGAUUGUCUGCACUUCUGAGAGUCCAGCUCUAUACCUCACAGCAUCUGAGUAAAGAAAGCUGUUGGAUGGGGUCAGCUGAGGUAGCAGGAUCAAACUGCAAGGAUCCUAUCCAAGUCUGUUCCUAACUUCCUGUGUUUAGAGCCCUCCAGGCAGCUUGAACUUGGACCAGAAAGGUGAGUCAAGAGGAAGCCUACCUGGUUGUCUCAGGAUUGUUUGCUCUUCUAAGUGUCAUAUUCUCUCCCCUGGUGAUUUUUUGACCCACGAGUCAAUAGAGAAGUGUUGGACCGUGUGAGCUCCAAGCACAGGCAGAAACCAGAAGUAUCCUGACCAAGACCGCUCCUGGUUUCCUAUGACUUGAAGGAUCCAGGUGGGUCCUUCCUAUCCGAAAUUGUGGUCUGAUCUCUGUUCUCUGGUGAGUCAGAGCUCCUGGAUAGUGGCUUUCUGCUCCGUGCACAGAUAAAGAGCAGAAGGAUCCUGUUCUGACUGCUCCUAGGAUCAUGUGUCCAGAAGGCUCCAGACAGGCACCUCUUGGGGGGCAAGGAUGUGAGCAGAAGUGUUUGUCUCCACAGUGCUCUCAGAAUCAAAAGCAUUUUUGACGGUCCAUCUCUCUCCCCAUGAGAUCUUGGUGCUGAGAUCUUUGGGCCUGUGUCACCCUGGCCACAGUUGGAAACCAGAAGUAUCUUGUCCAAGACUUCUCUAAGGUUCCUGUGUCCAGAGGGCUCCAGGCAGGUUCUUCUUGGGCCAGGAAUGUGAGCAGUAGUGGUGGCCUCCCCAGAGAUCUCAGGAGUGUCCACAUGUCUGAGAGUCCAGCUCUAUAAUUCAUGGGAUCUGGAUACAGAAAGCUGUAGGACUGGGCCAGCACGCAGCUGUAGGACUGGGCCAGCUCACGGUGCAGACAGAACCUGCAAGGGACUUAUCCCAGUCUGCUCCUAAGUUCCUGUGUUCAGAGGGAUCCAGAUGGAUUCACCUUGGGCCAGGAAUGAGACAAGAGGAGGCCUCCGCUCUUCUUUCAGGAUUUUCUGCACUUGUGAGAGUGCACUAUUUCCACAGGUGAUCUGUGUAUAGAAAAUUAUGGGACCAAAUCAGUUCUGGGCUCAGUCACAAACCAGAGUUAUCCUGUCCCAGGAAACGACUCCUUGUUUCCUAAGUUCUGAGGGCUCCAUGAGCAUUUGUCAGAACAGAAGUGUUGUUCUUACCACUGCUCUCAAGUGUGUCAGUGCUCCUGGAUACUGGCUUUCAGCCCCAUGCAAGAGCAAAGACAAGAAGGGUCCCAUCUUUGGUUGCUCCUCGGAUGCUGUAUUUUGAUGGCUAGAGGGAGGGUCCUCUUGGGCCAGGAAUGUGUGCAGAAGUGGAGGUCUAUUCUGUGCUCUCAGGAAUGAACAUACUUCUGAGAGUCCUUCCCUCUUCCCAUGGGAACCUGGUACAGAAAUCUGUGGGAGCAGGUCAUCUCAGGACACAGGCAGAAAUUAGAAUGAUCCUGUCCCAUUCGGUUCCUACAUUCUUGUGUCCAGAGGGGUCCAGGCAGGUUCUUCUUGUGCCAGGAAGGCGAGGAGAAGUUGGGGUCUCUCCUAUGCUCUCAAGAUUGUCCACACUUCUGAGAGUCACAUUGUCUCUCAUGGCAUCUGGGUAGUGAGAGCUUUGGUACCCGGCAGCUCUGGACACAGAUGAAAACCAGAAUUUUCCUGUUACAGAUGGCUCCUGGUCUCCUAUGUCCUGAGGUCUCCAGGAAUGUCCCUCAGAGGAGAAGUCGUUGUUUUACCUCGGCUAUCAAAUGUGUCAGUGUCCCUGGAGCCUGACUUUCAGCUCUGAACUUUGGCAAAAAACAGAAGGAUCCUGUCCCUGACUGCUCCUAGGUUCCUGUGACCAGAAGGCCCCAGGCUGGUCCCUCUUGGGCCAGAAAUGUGAGCAGAAGUGGUAGUCUCCCAUGUGCCCUCGGGCUUGAACAUAUUUCUGUGAGUCCAGUUCUAUUCCUCACAGGACCACGGUGCAGAGAGCUUGUGGGACCAGGUUAGCUCCUGGACCAGAUACAAACCAGAAAAUUCCUGUUCUAAUCUUCUCCUAGGUUCAUGUUUCGAGAAUGUUCCAAACGGGUUUCCUUUGAACCCAGAAUGUGAGCACAAGUCGUGGUUUCCCCUGUUCUCUCAUGCUUGUGUGUAUUUCUCUGAGGACAGCUCUGUCCCUCUCGGGAUCUAGGAACAGAUUGCUUGUGCCUGGGUCAGCUCUAGGCUCAGCCAAAGACCGGAUGGAUCCUGUCCUACACUGCUCCUAGGUUCCUGGGUCCAGAGGGCUCCAGGCAGGUUCCUCUUGGGCCAGGAAUAUGAGCCAAGAUUAGGUAUCUCCUGGGCUCUCCUAUUUGUCUGCACUUCUGAGAGUGAUGCCCUCCCCACAGCGGAUCUGUGUGCCGAGAAUGUGUGGCUCAGUAAGCUCCAGGCACAGGCCGAAACCAGAAAUAUCCUGUCCCAGUGUGGUCCUGGUUUCCUAUAUCUUGAGGGGUUCAGGAAGGUCUCUCCUGCAGAAAUGGUGGUCUUACCUCUACUCUCAGGUGUGAUAAUUUUCCUGAAUAUUGGCUUUCAGGUCCAUGCAUGGGCAAACAGAUCCUGUCCCUGACUGCUCCAGAGGGCUCCAGACGGGUUCCUCUUGAGCCAGGAAGGUGAACAGAAGAGGUGGUCUCCCCUGUCAUCACAGGACCUUCCACACUUCUUAGAGGCAUGGUCUCUCCUUCUUGGAUUUGGAUGUACAGAGCAGUGUGACCAGGUCAGUUUCAGGCAUAUGCAGAAACAAGAAGGAUGUUGUGUCAGCCUUUUCCUGGUUUUCUAUGUCCUGAUGCUCCCAGGAGGGUACCUCAGUAAAGAAAUUUUCGUCUUACCUCUGCUACGAGGUGUGGCAGCGCUUUUGGCACCCGGCUUUCAGCUCCCUGCUCUGGCAAAGACCAGAAGGAUCCUGUCCCUUACUGCUCCUAGAAUUAUGUGUCCUGAGGGCUCCAGGUGGUUUCCCCUUGGGCCAGGAUUGUGAGCAGAAGUAGUGGUCUCCACUGAGGAUUCAGGAUUGUCUGCAGUUCUGUGUGUCCAGCUCUAUUCCUCAUGGGAUCUGGGCACAGUAUGGUAUAAUACCUCAUCGGCUCUGUGCAAAGAUGAAAAGGAGAAGGAACCUGUCCCAGUCUGCUCCUAGGUUCCUGUGGCCAUAGGCUCUAGUGUGGUUCCUUGUGGGCCAGGAAUGUAAACAAAAGUGGUGGCUUCCCCUGUGCUCUCAGGAUUGAAUGCAUUUCUGAAAGUCCCUCUCUCUCCCCAUGGGAUCUCAGUACAGAAAUCUGUGAAACAAGGUCAGCACUGGCCCCAUCUGGAAACCAGAAGAAUUCUGUCCAAGUCUGCUCUAAAUUUCAUGUGUCCAGAGCUCUCCAUUGGGGUUCCUCUUGGGCCAGUAUGUGAGCAGGAGUGGUGGUCUCCUGAGUUCUCAGGAUGGUCUGCACUUCUCAGAAUCCUGCACUAUACUUCACGGAUCUGGAUACAAAUGCGGCAGGACAGGGCCAGCUCAACCUGCAGACAUAAACUGCCAGAACCCAUCCCAGUCUGCUCCUAGGUGCCUGUGUCCAGAGGACUGCAGGUGGAUUCAACUUGGUUCAGAAGGUUGAGCCAAGAGAAGGCCUCUGCUAUUCUCUCUGGAUUUUCUGCAUGUUUCAGUGUCCCACUCUCUCUUCCCAGAGGAUCUGGGUACAGAGAACUGUGGGACUUGGUCAAAUCCAAGCAGAGGCAGAAACCACCAGUAUUCUGUCCAAGACAGCUCCACGUUUCCUAUGUCCUGUGGGCUCCAGGAGGGUCCCUUGGAGCAGAUGCAGUGGUCUAACCUCUGCUCUCAGUUGUGUCAGCACUACUUGAUAUUGGCUUUCAGCUCCAUGCACGGGCAAAGACACAAAUGGUCCUGUCUCUGACUGUCCUAGGUUCCAGUGCCCAAAGUUCCCCAUGCAGGUUCCACUUGUGCCAGGAAGGUGACCAGAAGAGGUUUUCUCCCCUGUCCUCUCAGGACUGUCCAGUCUUCUGAGAGUCACAGACUUUCCAUAGUGUAUCUGGUACAGAGUGCUUUCAGGCCAGAUUGAUUCAGGGCAUAGGCAGAAACCAGAAGGACCCUGUCCCAAUGGUUUAGUGUUUCUGCUGUUGUGAGAUCUCCACACAGGUCCAUUGGAGGAUACUCCUCUCAGAUGUGUCAGGAAUACUGGAGACUGCCCUUCAGCUCCUUUCACAUGCAGAGACCUGAGGGAUAAUGUCCCUGACAGCUCCUAGUUUUCUGUGUCCACAGCCUCCAGACUGGUACUUCUAGGUGAAGGGAUGUGAGCAGUAGUGUUGGUCUCCCUUGAGCUCUCAGGAUUGUCUGCACUUCUGAGAGUCAUGAUGUCUUCCCAGGGGAUCUGGGCACAGAGAGCUGUGGGAUCAGGUCAGUUCUGGGUACAGGGAGGAACCAGAUAGAUCAUGUCCCAGACUGCUGCUGAUUUCCUUAGUCCUGCGGGACCCAGGCUGGGACCUCAGAGCAGAAGUCGUAAUCUUACAACUGCUCACAUGUGUGUCAGCAAUCAUGGAGACUGGCUUUAAGCUCUAAAUGCAGGUGCAGGCCAUCAGGGUCCUGUGUCUGACUGCUCCUAGGUUCCUUUGCCCAGAGUGCUCUAGGCAGGUACCUCUUGGGCCAGGGACAUGAACAGAAACUGUUCCCUCCCUUGUCUUCUCAGGACUGUCCACACUUUGAGAGUCCCACUGUCUCUGCAGGAAAUCUGGGUACAGAGAUUUGUGGGCCUGGGUCAGCUCUGGAUGCAGGCAAAGACCUUUAGCCUCCAGUCACAGAAUUCUCUUAGGUUCAUUAGUGCAGAGGCCUCCAGGCAGGUUCUGCUUGGGGAAGAGAUGUGAGCAGAAGUGGAGGCCUCCCCUGUUCUCUCAGGAUUCUCAGCACUUCUGAGAAUCCUGCUCUAUACCUCACAGUAUCUGAGUAAAGAAAGCUGUUGGAUGUGGUCAGCUGAGGUAGCAGGAUCAAACUGCAAGGAUCCUCUCCGAGUCUGUUCCUAGGUUCCAGUGUCCAGAGUCCUCCAAACGGCCUCAAGUUGGGCCAGAAAAGUGAGCCAAGAGAGGCCUCACCUGUUCUCUCAGGAUUAUUUGCUCUUCUAAAAGUCAUAUUCUCUACCAUGGUGAACUUUUGACUCAUGGGUCAAUAGAGAACUGUUGGACUGCGUUAGCUCCAGGCAACAGGCAGUAACCAGAUGUAUACUGACCCCGACAGAUCCUGACUUAUUGUGUCUUGAGGGCUCCAGAAGGAUCCUUCUGAGCAGAAAUUGUGGUCUUAUCUCUGUUCUCUGGACAGUGAGUGCUCCUGGAUAGUGGCUUUCAGCUCCAUGUACAGGCAAAGUCCAGAAGGGUCUUGUCCCUGACUGCUCCUAGGAUCAUGUGUCCAGAAGGCUCCAGACAGGUCCCUCUUGGAGCAAGGAUGUGAGCAGAAGUGCUGAUCUCCACUGUGCUCUCAGGAUUGAACGCAUUUCUGACAGUCCAGCCCUCACCCCAGGGGAUCUUGGUAGUAAGAGCUUUGGGCCUGUGCUACCACUGGUCAUAGUCGGAAACCAGAAGGAUCCUGUCAAGUCUGCUUUCAGGUUCCUGUGGCCAGAGGCCUCCUGGAGGGUUCUUCUUGGGCCAGGAAUGUGAGCAGAAGUGGUCCUCUCCCUAGAGCUCUGAGGAUUGUCCUCUCUUCUGACAGUCCAGCUCUGCAACUCACGGGAUCUGUAUACAGAAAGCUGUAUCACCAGGUCAGCCUCCGGUGCAGGCAGAACCUGCCAGGGUCCCAUCCCAGUCUGCUCCUAAGUUCCUUUGUGCAGAAGGAUCCACAAGGGUUCAACUUUGGCCACAAAGGCGAGAGAAGUGGAGGCCUGCCCUCUUCUCUCAGGAUUUUCCACACUUCUGAGAGUCAUAGUAUCUACCCAGGGGAUCUGAAUAUAGAGAAUGAUGGGACCAGAUCAGUUCUGGCACAGUCAGAAAACAGAAGUAUUCUGUCCCAGAUGGCUCCUGGUUUCCUAAGUCCUGAGGGCUCCAGUAAGGUUUGUCAGAGCAGAAGUGUUGUUCUUACCACUGCUCUCAAGUGUGUCAGUGCUCCUUGAUACUGACUUUCAGCUCCAUGCAAUAGCAAAGACAAAAAGGAUACUUUGCCUGGUUGCUCCUAGGGUCCUGUAUUUUGAGGGAUCCAGGGUGGGUACUUCUUGGACCAGGAAUGGGAGCACAAGUGGAGGUCUUCUCUGUUCUCUCAAGAUUGAACACAUUUCUGAGAGGCCUGCUCUCCUCCCACGGUGUCUCAGUACAGAAGUCUGUGGGACUGGGUCAUCUCAGGGAACAGGCACAAAUUAGAAUGAUCCUGUCCAAGAGGAUCCUGGUUUACUGUGUUCUGAGUCUCCAGGAAGGGACCUCACAGUAGAAGUGGUGGUCAUAUCUCUGCUUUCAGGUGAAUCUAGUACACUGCAGAGACUUUCAGCUAGGAUAUUAGGCAGAGAUUGGAAGGAUCAUGUCCCAGACAGCUCCUAGGUUCAUGGAACCAGAAGCCUCCAGAGUGGGAACUCUUAGGGCAGGGAUGUGAGGAGAAGUGGUGGUAUGCCCUGUGCAUUCAGGAUUGAAUGCACUUCUGACAGAUGUGCUCCCUGUCCAGGGGAUCUUGGUUAAGAGAGCUUGUUCCUGUGUCAGCACUGGGCACAGCCAGAAACCAGAAGGAUCCUGUCUAAUUUGGUACUUAAGUCCCUGUUUCAGAGGGAUGCAGGUGGGUACCUCUUGGGCCAGGCAUGUGAGCAGAAUCUCCCCUGUCCACAGAAUUGUCAGUAGUUCUUAAAAUUAUGCUCUCUCUCCCGAUGGUAUCUGGAUAGAGAAAACUGUGGGACCAGUUAAGUUUGGGAACAGGCAGAAACCAGAAUGAUCCUUUCCCAGAUGGCUCCUGGUUUCUUAUGUCCUAAGGGCUUCAGGAGAGUUUCUUUGAGCAGAAAUUGUGGUGUUACCUCUGCACUCGUAUUUGUCAGUACAUUUGGAGACAGGCUUUCAACUGCGUGCAAAGGCAAAGACAGGAAGGAUCUUAUCCCUGACUGCUCAUAGGAUCCUGUGUCCUGAGUCCUCCAGGAGGGUUCCACAUGGUCAGCAAUGUGAGCAGUAUUGGCGGUCUCCCCUGAGGUCUCAGGAAUGACUGCAUUUCUGAGAGUCAUGGUCACUCCCCAGGGAAUCUUGGUAGAGAGGUCUUCUGGACUUUGUCAGUACUGGGCACAGACAUAAACCAGAAGGAGCUUGUCAGAGUCUGCUUUUAGUUACCUGUGUCCAGAGGGUUCCAGGAGUGUUUCUCUUGGGCCAAGUACAUGAGCAGUAGUGUUGGUCUUUCCUGAGCUCUAAGGAUUGUCCACGCUUCUGAGAGUCCCGCUCUCUCCCUACGGGAUGUGGGUCCACAGACCUGUGGGAGCUGUUCAGUUCCAGGAACAGAGAGAAACCAGAAAGAUCCUGUCACACAUGGCUUCUGGUUACCUAUGUCCUGAGGGCUCCAGGAAUGUGUCUGUAAGGUGAAAUUGUGCUGUUAUGUUUGCUCUUAGGUGUGUCAUCAUUAUUGGAGACUGGCUUUCAGCUCCAUGCACAGGCAAAGACUGGAAGGAUUGUGUCUCUGACUGUUUCUAAUAUACUGUGCCCAGAAGUCCCCAGGCAAGUUCCUUUUGUAUCAGGAUGGUGAGCAGACGGUGAUCUCUCCUGUCUUCUCAGGAUUGUCUUCACUUCUGAGAGUCUGACUCUUUCCAAACAGGAUCUGAGUACAGAGAUUUUUGGGCCUGUAUCAGCACUGUACAGAAGGAUGCUGUCCAGAUCUGCUCUUAGGACCGUGUUUUAGAGGGAUCCAGGUGGGUUCCUCUUGGCCCAGGUAUGUGACCAAAAGUGGUGAUCUCCCUGUCACAUCAGGAUUGUCAACACUUCUAAGAGUCACAGUCUCUUUACCAUUUACCUGGAUACAGAGGGCUGGGAGACCAGUUCAGAUCCAGGAACAGGCAGAAACAAGAAGGAUGCUGUCCCAGAUGGCUCCUGGUUUACUAUGUCCUGAGGGCUGCAGGAGUUGUAUCUCUGAGCAGAAAUUCUGGUCAUAACUCUACUCUCAGGUGUAUCAGUGCUCUUGGCGACUGGCUUCAACUCCGUGUAUAGUCAAAGCCUCGAAGAUCGUGUUUCAGACUGUCUUUGGAUCCUGUAUACAGAGCACGUUGGGCCUGUAACAGCACUGGGCUCAUUCGGAAACUAAAAUGUUGCUAUCCCAGUCUGCUCCUAGGUUCCAGUGUCCAGAGUGCUCGAGGCGGGUUCCUCUUGGGCCAGGAAAUUGAGCACAGAAGAGAUUUCUCCUGCUCUAUCCUGAUUGUGUGCACUUCUGAGAGUCAUGCUCUCUCCCCAAGGGAUCUGUGUACAGAGAGCUAUGGAGCCAGGUAAGAUCCAGCUGCAGGCAGAAACCAGAAAUAUCCUGUCCCAAAUGGCGCCUGGUUUCCUAUGUCCUAGGGGUCCAGUAGUUUCCAUCAGGCAGAAAUGGUGGCAUUACCUUUGCUCUCAGUAUUGACAGCACUCCUGGACACUGGCUUUCAGCUCUAUGCAUGGGCAAAGACAAGAAUGACUCUGUCCCUGACUGCACCUAGUUUCCUGUUUCCUGAAGGUCUGUCAACAGGUUCCUCUUGGACCAGGAUGUUGAACAGAAGAGGGUGACACCUCUGCCUUCUCACGAUGGCCCACACUUCUGAGAGUCACACUCUCUCUUCAGGGGACCUGGGUAUAGAGAUCCAUCGGUCCAGGUCAUUUCUAGGCACCUGCAGACACCAGAAGGAUCCUGUUCCAGACUGUGUUUUGUUACCUAUUUCCGGAGGGGUCUCGGAGGGUUCCUCAGUAAAGAAAUUGUGAUCUUACCUCUGUUAUCAGGUGGGAACGCUUUUGGAGACUGGCUUUCAUCUCCUAGGUUCCUUUGUCCAAAAGGGUCCAGGCCGGUUCCUCUAGGGCCAGGAAUGUGAGCAGAAAUGGUGUUCUCCCCUGUGCACUCAGGAAUGAAUGCACUUCUGACUGUCCUGCUGUCUCCCCAGGGGAUCUAGGAACAGAUAGCUUUGUGCCUGUGUCAUCACCGGGCACACCUGGAAACCAGAGGAUCCUGUCCAAGUCUGCUCUUAGGUUCCUGUGUCAAAAGGGGUCUAGAUGGGUUCCUCUGGGGCUAGAAAGGUGAGCAGAAUACGUAGUCUCCCUUGUUCUGUCAGGAUUGUCUGCACUUCUGAGAGUCAUGUCCUCUCCCCAGUGGAUCUGGGUACAGAGAACUGUGGGAUUAGUUCAUUUACACUCACAGGCAAAACCCAAAGGAUCCUGUCCCAGAAAACUCCUGGUUUCCAAUCUCCUGAGGGCUGAGGAGUGCAUGUCCAAGGAGACAUUUUGACCUAACUUUGCUCUCAGUUUUGUCAUGCUUUUGGAGAGUGGCCUUCAAUACUGUGCACAGGCAAAGACUGGAACGAUUUUGUGCCUGACAGCUCCUAGGAUCCUGUGUUCUGAGUGUUCCCGUUGGGUUCCCCUUGGGUCAGUGAUGUGGACAGAAGUGAUUGUCCCCCUGAGCACUCAGGAUUGUCCUCACUUCUUUGAGUACAGCUCAGUUCCUCAUGGGAUCUGGGUAAAGAUUGUUGUAAGCUGGGUCAGCUCUGAGAGAGAGGGAAACCAGCAUGAUCCAGUCUAAGUUCGCUCCUAGGUUCUUGUGUUCAGAAGGCUCCCGACUGGUACUUCUUCAGCCAAGAAUGUGAGCAGAAGAGAUGAUCUCCCCUGUCUUCUCAGGACUGUCCACACUUCUGAGAGUCAUGGUCUCUCCCUAGGGGAUCUCAGUACAGAGAGCUGUGGGACCAGUUCAUUUCUGGUCACAGGUAGAAACCAAAUAGAUCCUGUCCCAGACAGCUACUGGUUGCUUAUGUCCUGAGGGCUCCAGGAGGGUCUCACAGAGCAGAAGUGGUGGUCUUCCCUCUCCUCUCAGGUGUGUCAGAGCAUUUGGAGACUGCCUUUCAGCUCCUUGCAUAGUCAAAGACCAGAAGGAUCCUGUCCCUGAUUGCUCGUAGGAUCCCGUAGUUUGAGGUCUCCAGGUGGGUUCCUCUUGGGCUAGUCAUGUGAGCAGAAGUGGUGUUCUCCCCUGAGCUCCCAAAUUAAGUCUCACUCCUGUGAGUCCACCUCCAUUCCUCAUGAGAUCUGGGUAUAUAAGGGUGUAAAGACAUACCAGCUCUGAGAGCAAAUGGAAACCAAAAUGAUCCUGUUCCAGUCAGGAUCCUGGGUUCCUGUUUCCAGAAGGCUCUAGAUUGUUACCGCUUGGGCAAGUAAUGUGAGCAGAAAUGUUGGACACCCCUGAGCUCUCAAGAUUGAACAUACUUCUGAGACAAAAGCUUUCUCCUCAAGGGAUCUAGGUACAGAAAUCUGUGGGACAGGGUAAGCUCCGGGCACAGGCACAAAUUAGAAUGAUCCUGCCUCAGAUGUCUCCUAGUUUCCUAUGCUCUGAGACAUCCAGGCGGGUCCCUCCGUGGAGAAUUGGGGUCUUACCUCUUCUUUCAGGUCUGUCAGGUAUCCUGGAGAAGGGCUUUCAGCUCUGAGAGCAGGCUGAGAACUGAUGGAUCAUGAAUCUGACAGCUCUUAGGUUCCCAUGUCCAGAAGGCUCCAGACUGAAUCCUCUUGGGGCAGGGAUGUGAGCAGAUGUGGUGGUCUCCCCUGAGUUCUAAGGAUUGUUCACACUUCUGAAAGUCAUGGUCUCUCCCCAGGGUAUCUGUGCACAGAGAGCUUUGGUCCUGAGACAGCACUGGCCACAGCUAGAAACCAGAAGGAUCCCGUCCAAGUCUGCUCUUAGGUUGUUGUGUCCAAAGGGCUCCAGGCAGGUUUCUCUUGGGCCAGGUUUGUGAAUAGUAUUUGUGUUCUUCCCUGAGCGAUUAGGAUUGUCUGCACUUCUAAGAGUCAUGCUUUCUCCCCAGGGGAGCUGGGUAAACAGAGCUUUGGGCCAGAAUCAGCCCUGUGCACAGCCAGAAACCAAAAGCACCAUGUGCGAGAUUGCUCUUAGGUUCCUGUGUCAAGAGGGCUCUAGAUGGGUUCCUCUUGGGCAAGAAACGUGAGCAGAAUAUGUCUCCCCUAUUCUGUCAGGAUUGUCUGCACUUAUGAGAGUCAUGUUCUCUCCCCAGGGGAUCUGGGUACAGAGAUCUGUGGGACCAGUUCAGUUCUGGGCACAGGCUGAAACAAGAGAUAUGCUGUCCCAGAUGGCUUCUGCUUUCUAAUGUACUGACAGCAUCAGGAGGAUGCAUUGGGGCAGAAAUUGUGGUCUUACCUCUACAUUCAAGUGUCUUAGGUAUAAUGGAUAGUGGCUUUCAGCUAUGAAAAUAGGCUGAGACCAGAAGGAUCAUGUCGUGAAAACUAGUUUCCUAUGUGUAGAAGGCUCCAGACUCGCACCUACUGGGUCAGGGAUGUGAGCAGAAGUGCUGGUCUCCUCUAUGUUCUCAGGAUCUAACACUCUUCUGACAGUCCCUCUCUCUCCCCAGGGGAUCUGAGUACGGAGAACUUUGGGCCUGUGUGUCAGCACUAGCCACAGCCAGAAACCAGAAGGAUCUUCUCCAAGUCUGCUCUUAGGUUCCUGUGUCUAGAGUGCUCCAACCGGGUUCCUCUUGUGCCAGCUAUGUAAAUAGUAGUAUCGUGGUCUCCACUAAGCUCUCAUUCGGUUUUGCACUUUUGAGAGUCCCAUUCUCUGUCCAACGGAUAUGGAUACAGUGUGCUUUGGUCCUGUGUCAGCACUGUGAACACCUGGAAACCAGAAGAUUCCUGUCCAAGUCUGUCCUCAGUUUGCUUUGUCCACAGGGCUCUAUGCAGGUUCCUCUUGAGCCAUGUAUGUGAGCAGUAGUGGUGGUCUCCCAUGAGCUGUCUGGAUUAUCUGCACUUCUGAGCGUCCAACUCUAUACCACAGGGGAUCUGGAUAGUAGAAACUGUAGGACAGGGUCAGCUCAGGGAGCAAGCAGCAACUGCAAGGAACCUUUCCCAGUCUGCUCCUUGGUUCCUGUGUCCAGGCGGAUGCAGGUGGAUUCAACUUUGUUCAGAAAGCUGAGCCAAGGAGAGGUCUCCCCUGUCUUCUCAAGAUUUUGUGCACUACUGAGAGUCACUCUUUCUCCUCAGAGGUUUUGGGUAAUUGAACUGUGGGAUCAGGUCAAAUCCAGGCAGAGGCAGAAACCACAAGUCUCCUGUCCAAGACAGCUCCUGGCUUCGAUGUCCUGCAGGCUCCUGGAGGAUAUCUCAGGCCAUAAAUUGUGAUCUAACCUCUGCUGUCAUUUGUGUCAGCGCUACUGGAUACUGGCUUUCAGUUCCAUGCAUGGGCAAACACCAGAAGGAUCUGUCCCUGACUGCUCCUGGGAUUCUGUGUCCAGAGGGCUCCAGGUGGGUUCCACUUGUGCCAGGAAGGUGAACAGAAGAGGUGAUCUCCCCUGUACACUCAAAAUGGUCCAGACUUCUGCGUGUCACGCUCUCUCCCCAGGGACGGGGGUACAGAGAGCUGUGGGACCAGGUCAGGUCCAGGCACAGGCACAAACUAGAAUGGUCCUAUCUCAGAUGACUCCUGUUCUGCUGUGUCCUGAGGAACCCAGGAGAGUACAUUGGAGCUGAAAUUGGGGUCUUACCUCUGCUUUCAGGUGUGUCAGGUAUAUAGGAGACUGGUUUUUAGUUAUGAUCGCAGGCUGAGACCAGAAAGAUCAUGUCCUGACAGCUCCUAGCUUCCUGUGUGCAGAAGGCUCCAGACUGGUAUUUUUAAUAUCAGGGAUGUUAGCAGAAAUGAUGGUCUCCCAUGUGCACUUAGGAUUGAACACACUUCUGACAGUCCAGCUCUAUUUCCAGAGGAUUUUUGUACAGAGAACUGUGGGACUAGGUGAGCUCCAGGCACAGGUAGAAACCAGAAGUAUUCUGUGCCAGACGGCCCUAGGUUUCCUGUAUCCUGAAAUGUCCAGGAGAAUCCCUCUGACAGAGAUGGCGGUCUUUCCUCUGCUCCCAGAUUUCACACCAUUACUGGACGUUGGUUUUAGGCUCCAUGCAUGAGCAAGACCAGAAGGAUCCUGUCCCUGACUGCUUCUAAUUUCCUGUGUCCAGAGGAAUCCAGGCAGGUUCCUCUUGGGCCAGGAAGUUGAACAGAAGUGGCCUUCCCUGUCUCUCAGGAUUGUUCACACUUCUGAGAGUCAUGCUCUCCCCUCAGGAGAUGUGCAUACAGAGACUGGUGAGACCAGAUCAGUUUCAGGCACAGGCCGAAACCAGAAGUAUCCUGCUCCAGAUGGAUCAUGGUUUCCUUUGUCCUGAGGGCUCCAGUCAGGUCCCUUGGAGGAGAAGUGGUGCUCUUACCUCUGCUCUCAGGUGUGUCAGGGACACUGGAGUCUGGCUUUAGCUUUGAGCUCAGGUGGAGACCGGAAUGUUCAUGUCCCCGACAGGUCCUUGGUUCCUGUGUUAAGAAGUCUCCAGACUGAGGUUCCUCAGAAAAUUGGACAUUGAACUGCUUGAGGAUCCAGCCAUACCUCUCUUGGGCAUAUACCCAAAAGAUGCCUCAACAUAUAAAAGAGACACGUGCUCCACUAUGUUCAUCGCAGCCUUAUUUAUAAUAGCCAGAAACUGGAAAGAACCCAGAUGCCCUUCAACAGAGGAAUGGAUACAGAAAAUGUGGUACAUCUACACAAUGGAAUAUUACUCAGCUAUCAAAAACAACGAGUUUAUGAAAUUCGUAGGCAAAUGGUUGGAACUGGAAAAUAUCAUCCUGAGUGAGCUAACCCACUCACAGAAAGACAUACAUGGUAUGCACUCAUUGAUAAGUGGCUAUUAGCCCAAAUGCUUGAAUUACCCUAGAUCCCUAGAACAAAGGAAACUCAAGACGGAUGAUCAAAAUGUGAAUGCUUCACUCCUUCUUUAAAUGAGGAAAAAGAAUACCCUUGGCAGGGAAGGGAGAGGCAAAGAUUAAAACAGAGACUGAAGGAACACCCAUUCAGAGCCUGCCCCACAUGUGGCCCAUACAUAUACAGCCACCCAAUUAGACAAGAUGGAUGAAGCAAAGAAGUGCAGACCGACAGGAGCCGGAUGUAGAUCGCUCCUGAGAGACACAGCCAGAAUACAGCAAAUACAGAGGCGAAUGCCAGCAGCAAACCACUGAACUGAGAAUAGGUCCCCCGUUGAAGGAAUCAGAGAAAGAACUGGAAGAGCUUGAAGGUGCUCGAGACCCCAAAAGUACAACAAUGUCAAGCAACCAGAGCUUCCAGGGACUAAGCCACUACCUAAAGACUAUACAUGGACUGACCCUGGACUCUGUCCCCAUAGGUAGCAAUGAAUAUCCUAGUAAGAGCACCAGUGGAAGGGGAAGCCCUGGGUCCUGCUAAGACUGAACCCCCAGUG